rnacentral:rRNA from 1 species
CCUGGCUUAGAACGAACGCUGGCGGCGUGCUUAACACAUGCAAGUCGAACGCGAAAGGGACUUCGGUCCUGAGUAAAGUGGCGCACGGGUGAGUAACGCGUAGAUAACCUGUCUUCAUGUCUGGAAUAAUACGCCGAAAGGGGUACUAAUACCGGAUAUUCUUGCUUUUCAUAAGUUAUGCAAGCAAAGGUGGCCUCUGCAUAUGCUACUGCAUGAAGAGGGGUCUGCGUACCAUUAGCUAGUAGGUGGGGUAAUGGCCUACCUAGGCGACGAUGGUUAGCGGGUCUGAGAGGAUGAUCCGCCACACUGGCACUGGAACACGGGCCAGACUCCUACGGGAGGCGGCAGUGAGGAAUAUUGCGCAAUGGGGGAAACCCUGACGCAGCGACGCCGCGUGAGUGAAGGAAGGCCUUCGGGUCGUAAAGCUCUGUCAAGAGGAAAGAAGUGUACAAUGGCUAAUACCUGUUGUAUUUGACGGUACCUCUAAAGGAAGCACCGGCUAACUCCGUGCCAGCCGCAGC